CACAUUGCCACGUGCAUUCUUUCACUUCUUUUUUUCACUCAAAAUGGACGGUCGAGUUUUCUGCUUUGAUUCUCAACUAAAAUUUAAUAAGAUGGAUGAUGUGCGGUAGCAGGAACAAUCUCUGAAAAUAGCAAUGGAAAAGAACAAUUUUCAAGGUUUUCUACCACAUUUAUCCACACGUGUCCAAAAGUAAGAUUCCAUUUGAAAGUGUAUUAAAAUGCACAUGGCUUACGAGAAGAUAGACGGAAGCAAAAUAAGAUGAGCAGAAAAAGGUGCUCACGAAUGCCUGAGAAAUGGAAAUGUUUAGAACUAAAUUCAGAGAUCUUGGUUGGACUGCGUAACAAUAAUGGGCACAUCAGAAAAUGAGUAACAAAACUCCAAAUUGUUUUCAAUUGACCGAAAUAUGCAAUCCACUAAACCAUCUGGAUUUCUUCUCAGAACAAUGGCUACCAAUGGAAACUAGAAGUGCAGACGAAUUCGGGAUUAUAAGAAAUAUCUUGUUCUCUCGUUGUAUUGCACACGAAAAAUCGUUUUCCGGCUAUGUAGUUUGACGGCAAAGCAAGGAGAAAUGCGUAAAUAUCAUCAUAAAAUUUCAUGAAAAAAUGAUAUCUGCGCACUAAAUCAAUCAAGCUUUGAAGGAAUUUAGGUGAUUAGAAAGAUUCACAAAGAUAGGAACAUUUCCAAAUUAUACCCAGUGGAGGAUGCCUUAAAAAGUUUUAAGAUAUUCACACUUUCUGAAGUACACAAAUAGCAAUUGAUUUUUAGUACAAGAUACUCACACUUUCUGAAGUACAUAAACAUCAAUUGAUUUUUAGUACAAGAUAUCUUAGGAUUGCCAGUGGAGCAGAAUAUUUACCCGUCAACCUUAUUAAGACUUCACCAUUUAUUGGAUCGAUCUUAUCGAGUUGCUAAAACAUCCAUUAACGUAGAAAUGCUUAAAAGGCUACCUGGCUUUAGGCUUUGUGAAUCAACUGAACUUUGUGGUAUCAUGCGGAUUGCGAAGAUCAAACACCUCACUCUGAACUCUGAAAACCAAACUGUUGUAGUCAUUUGAAGAAAUAAAAACUCAAGAGAUACUGUUUAAUAUAA
rnacentral:sRNA from 1 species